UACGGGGGGGGGCAAGCGUUGUUCGGAAUUACUGGGCGUAAAGGGCUCGUAGGUGGCCAACUAAGUCAGACGUGAAAUCCCUCGGCUUAACCGGGGAACUGCGUCUGAUACUGGAUGGCUUGAGUUUGGGAGAGGGAUGCGGAAUUCCAGGUGUAGCGGUGAAAUGCGCAGAUAUCGGGAGGAACACCCGUAGCGAAGGCGGCACUCUGGGCCGGAACUGACGCUGAGGAGCGAAAGCGUGGGGAGCAAACAGG
rnacentral:rRNA from 1 species